rnacentral:tRNA from 1 species
GGGGUUGUGGCUCAGCGGUAGAGAGCUUGCCUUGCAUGUAUGAGGCACUGGGUUCCAUCCCCAGCACCA